rnacentral:lncRNA from 1 species
UUUUUUUUCUAUUGCCGCUCCCUCUCCUGCUACAUCUUGUCUAUACCUCUUGCUUUGCUAUUUUGGCUAUAUUGACUAUUUUCAAUAGGAAACCAACUGCAUCAGUCUCACUCUAGCAUGAAUCCUAGGCCUUAGCUCUUUCUUAAAUCUCUAUACUUUGAUACCAUCAAUAGCCACUAAAUCUAGAGCAAAGCGAUAGCUCUGCAAAUUUGUUCUCAUAC